CCUUUUGGAAGAAGUCGUCGAAGGUGGAAUCAAUAACUGGGGUGAAGUCGUAACAAGGUAGCCGUAUCGGAAGGUGCGGCUGGAUCACCUCCUUU
rnacentral:rRNA from 3 species